rnacentral:tRNA from 1 species
UCUGAGAGUGGCAGAAAAGUGCCAUGAACUUAAAAUUCAUUCAUAAAUAAAUUUCCUUAGAA